AGAGCGAACGCUGGCGGCAGGCUUAACACAUGCAAGUCGAGCGGGCGUAGCAAUACGUCAGCGGCAGACGGGUGAGUAACGCGUGGGAACGUACCUUUUGGUUCGGAACAACCCAGGGAAACUUGGGCUAAUACCGGAUAAGCCCUUACGGGGAAAGAUUUAUCGCCGAAAGAUCGGCCCGCGUCUGAUUAGCUAGUUGGUGAGGUAAUGGCUCACCAAGGCGACGAUCAGUAGCUGGUCUGAGAGGAUGAUCAGCCACAUUGGGACUGAGACACGGCCCAAACUCCUACGGGAGGCAGCAGUGGGAAUAUGGACAAUGGGCGCAAGCCUGAUCCAGCCAUGCCGCGUGAGUGAUGAAGGCCCUAGGGUUGUAAAGCUCUUUUGUGCGGGAAGAUAAUGACGGUACCGCAAGAAUAACGCCCCGGACUAACUUCGCGCCAGCAGCCGC
rnacentral:rRNA from 1 species